rnacentral:rRNA from 1 species
GACGAACGCUGGCGGCGUGCCUAAUACAUGCAAGUCGAGCGGACUUUCAAGAAGCUUGCUUUUUGAAAGUUAGCGGCGGACGGGUGAGUAACACGUGGGCAACCUGCCUGCAAGACGGGGAUAACUCCGGGAAACCGGGGCUAAUACCGGAUAAUAUCUUCCUUCGCAUGAAGGAAGGUUGAAAGGCGGCGCAAGCUGCCGCUUGCAGAUGGGCCCGCGGCGCAUUAGCUAGUUGGUGAGGUAACGGCUCACCAAGGCGACGUUGCGUAGCCGACCUGAGAGGGUGAUCGGCCACACUGGGACUGAGACACGGCCCAGACUCCUACGGGAGGCAGCAGUAGGGAAUCUUCCGCAAUGGACGAAAGUCUGACGGAGCAACGCCGCGUGAGCGAAGAAGGUCUUCGGAUCGUAAAGCUCUGUUGUCAGGGAAGAACAAGUACCGUUCGAACAGGGCGGUACCUUGACGGUACCUGACCAGAAAGCCACGGCUAACUACGUG